CAAAAGCUUGGUCCUGGCUUUUCUGUCAUCUCCGGCUAAAUUUACACAUGCAAGUAUCCGCACCCCUGUGAGAAUGCCCCACAGUCCCCCUCCCCGGGGACAAGGAGCUGGUAUCAGGCACAUUAAUAUGCCCGCCCACGACACCUUGCUCAGCCACACCCUCAAGGGAAUUCAGCAGUGAUAAACAUUAAGCCAUAAGUGAAAACUUGACUUAGUUACAGCCCCCAGGGCCGGUAAAACUCGUGCCAGCCACCGCGGUUAUACGAGAGGCCCAAGCUGACAGCCCCCGGCGUAAAGAGUGGUUAAGUUAACCCCAAUAUGACUAAAGUCGAACGCCCCCAAGACCGUUAUACGUGCUCGGAGGUAUGAAGCCCAACUACGAAAGUGGCUUUAAAAUGCCUGACCCCACGAAAGCUGUGAAACA
rnacentral:rRNA from 1 species